ACCGCCAUGGCCCAGGGGGGGACGAGGGGAGGCGGGGGCGGCCCGGGGGGGGGCCUGACGCCGGUUUUUCCGUCUCUGGUUGCAGGUUCCCGCUUGGAUGAUCCAGAGGGACGCAGGAAUCCACGCAGAAUGAGGAGGUGACAAAUGCAGUCGAUCACCCAUUUUUGACACAACCGCCGGGAAAACUGGAUGGCAGCCCCCCAGAAAGCUCACCUCAUCCACUGGAUACCGGCGCGGGGGUCCCCUCUCCGAUGAUCCUCACCUUGGCUUGUCCUCAGAGCUCCCAAUUACUGGGAUUUAACUGGGGAUACUGGGAUGACAAUGGUUGAUGCCAGCCUCGUAAUAAAUAACCAAUUUCUCA